AUGGCCGCAGAUGUGACAGACUCAGAAAAGCAAGUCCCUGGUGGGAGGUCACCCUGGUCCAGGCGGGGGGAUAUCUGGGGAACCCCGGGGAGGAAAUGCUUUGUGGGCUGUAAAGGGCAGUGUCAAGCUAAACAGCCCCCUCCCCAGCCUCAGCAGCACAGUGCUGUCCUGGGGUCGCCCCUUGCCUUGGUCUUGCGGAUGGUCAGCGAGCCGUUCUGUACCCGCAGGCGGCUGUCCCACAGUGGAAGACCAUCUUUGGUCCAGCGGAUGUCAGGGUCUGGAUCACCACGGACCACGCAGUCUAGCUGGAUGCUGCCCCCUACAGGCUCCACCAGGGGGCAAAUGACUCGUCCGGGCAGCAGAACGACGGAGCGACCCAGUGACCACCAAGCCUGGCCGGCAGCCAAACCCAGCCACCCGCUCCAUGGCCUCCGACUCAGCACUGGGCACCCAGAUGGGAUCUCAGGCUUCGGUGACACAGUGACGCGGGGCAGGGGUGGGGACUGUCUCUGGGCCAGGUGGACUCUGUGGGGCCUCUCAAAGGCCUGCAGGGGCUUCUGGGCAGACAGGGGGACCCAGGGUUCCUGGGAGGAUGUGUGCCCCGACCCCUGCAGGAUGCUGUAUGUCUUACCUGCAGGGACGUUGAACCCCUCUUUCUGCCAGGUGACAGUGGGCCAGGGGAUGCCUGAGGCCUCACAGGGCAGCAGCACCUCCUCCUCUGCCACCACCUGGACCACGCUGGGCAGCGGCUUCACCACAGGGGAGGCUGCGAGGGCAGAGGGGACGAGGUCCCUGGGAGCACCUCUCACACCAGCCCCACAGAGAGCAGGGCAGCUCUGCGCCAGGACUUCUCUCCCAGGGGCCCCCAUGGGAGCAGGUUCUGAUGGGGUCCCUGAGCACGGCGCGCUCCCUGCCCUCUCGACCUGGCCAGACCCUUACCCUGCACAGUGAGGAGCACGUGCUUGCGGGCCACUCCGGCAGCAUUGCGGGCUGUGCAGGUGUAGCGGCCAGCGUGGAUGGGCAGCGCCUGCCCGAUCUCCAGGGCACCUGUACGUGACAACACGCUCAGAGACGGGGUCCCCAGUGGCAGAGCUGCCCGGGCUCCCACACACUCCCACCCUUCAUUUCUGGUGCAGGCCCACUCCCCACAUCUUUUUUUUUUUUUUGGUACUGGGAACCAAACUCAGGACCUCGUGCCUGCUAAGCAGACGCUUGUGCCACUGAGCUAUAGCCGUAGUCCCUCCCCACAUCUUUGUGAACAGCACCAGGAAUAGGCUGCCCUGGCCACCUGUGUGAGCGUCAUGGUGGGCCUCAGUUUACCCAUGUGUAUGAGAUAUGAUUGAAAAAUAUAGUAAAUGUUUAAAUUUAAGGAAAUGUAUUACAGUAAAAGACAUGUUUCCACAAAUCUCCCCCCAGAAUACUACCCCUUGUUUCUAACGCACCGAUCCCAUCGUCCUUGCCGCUUUCUGCAGCAGCUCUGGAGCGCUCUUUCCUGAGUGUCAUUUGUGGCGCUGUCCUGGCUGCCUUGAGGUCCUGAACUGAUUCAAAACCUUCCCUUCUGUGGUUACUUUGACUUUGGGGAGGAGCAAGAAGUCGCACAGUGCCAGGCCCAGUGAAUAAGGGGGAUGAGGACAUAGUGCCAUGUUUUUAUUGAGCUGCCUUUCCACUGGAUGGCGCGUGGCAGGACCCUCCACCACAUUCUUUUUUUUUUUUUUUUUUUUUUUGGUUUUUCUCCGGUACCGGGAACCGAACUCACGACCUUGCGCUUGCCAGCCAGGCGCUUUUGCCACUGAGCUAAAUCCCCAGCUCCACCACAUUCUUGAUUACACCGUACAAAGACACUCAGGAAAGGGCACUUCCAGAACUGCUUCAGAAAGUGGCAAACGUGAUAGUAUCGGUGUGUUUGAGGUGAGAGGGAAGAUUUUGAGGGGGCUUAAUGGCAGUGUAUCUUUUACUGUAAUACAUCUUUAAAUUUAAACACUCACUGUAUACUUUGACCACGUAUGGUACAGAAACAAAUCAGGUGACAUGGUCUCUAGCACCUCCAGGGUGACAGUCCAGGAUCAGCCAUUGCGCUGCCUGGAAUUGCUGGCCCAGAGUCCUCCUCUGCCUCGCUCUUGUCACCAUGCUUAACACCGUCCUCCUCUAGGAAGCCUCCCGGGAUUCCUCCUCGAUCUUCCUUCCCUUCACCCGGGUGCACAGCGGGCACCCCUGCCCCCUCCUCAGACCACAGGCUGUGCCCACAGUCAGGUGCAGGAGUCUCUAGGUAUUCUCUGUGGACUCCCAAGGGCCCCUGGGUGGUGGGGGAGCCGGGCCCGAUGGUCUCAGAUCACCCAUGGCCACGCCCAGCCGGAUCUGGAGCUGUGAAGUGCUUUCUACCCUGCUGCACUGUAACCGCUGGCCAGAAGGAAAUAUUCUAUUCCUCAGAUGAGUUUGAAAACCACAGAUCUAACCAGUGGUUCUCAGCUUAGGAUAUCCCUGACCAACCAACAAGUAAAUUUAAUGUGGGGAGACCCCGUUCAUUUUGACAAGCAAAGACGUUCUCAGAGUCACUAGUAGCCAGGUGUGAUGGUGCGUGCCUAUAACUCAGCACUCCGGGAGACUGAGGCGGGAGGAUUGCAAAUUCAAUCCUGGGCAAUUUAGCAAUGUUUGUUCUCUCUGUCUUUUUGAAACAAGGUUUCACUACGCAGUUUAGGCUGGCCUUGAAGUCACUUUGUAGCCCAGGCUGGCCUCAAACUCGAAGUGAUCUCCUGCCUCAGCCUCCCAAAUGCUGGGAUUGCAGGUGCGCACCGCCACACCCAGCAAUUUAGCAAUUUAACAAGACCUUGUCCCAAAAUAAAAAAUAAAAAAGCCCUGGGGAUGUAGCUCAGUGUGAAGGCCCUUAGUUCAAUCCCCAGUAUUGAAGAAAAAAACCCAAACUACUAUUACCUUAAUUUCACCAAAGAAAGGAACUUUCAACAUCAAGAGAUUAAGAGCAUAAUUCAGAAUAAGCAGCAACUGUCCUCCUGGGGUAAAACUAGCUUUAUGAAAAAUCUGGGGGCUGCGAUUUCUCUCCCUUUGCCAGGAAAGAGCACGGUGUUGCCCGGAGUCUCACGCCCGCCCCCGCUGCUGGGUCUCAACACUGCAGUGCCCACGGGGGAAACUAAGGGUCGGGGAGGGCAGCGGCUUCUCCCUGUCACACAGCGAGGGGUCAGGAGAGCCAGGCCGAUCUCCACUCUCUGCGGCUGCCCCUUACGCACCGGAAGGCAACACGCGGUAGCCGCUCCCCCGGGUCCCCAGCUGGGUGCCCGCCCUGCUCCAGGACACGGUGGGGACUGGCACCCCCGUGCUGUGGCAGGUGAGGACCACGGGUGCCAUCCUGGUCACGGUGAAGGCCGUCUGGUCGUCUGCGAUGGUCGGAGGCUCUGCAAGCCAGGACAAGGCCUGAGCCCCGCUGAGGAGCAGGGGAAGCAGGCCGCGGGGUGGGGCUGAGAGCGACACGGAGGGUGACUGCAGCGUCCUCUCCUGCAGGUUCCCAUCACCAGGAACUGUGCGGAGCCCGGUUACGCGAGGGACAGGCCACGGGAUCCAGGAGGGCUUCCUGGAGGAGGGUCCAGCCCGCCUCACUCACCCUGCACGGUCACCUGGUAGAGCCUGCGGGUCUCGCCCACCUCGUUGCUCACCACGCACUCAAACUGAGCUGAGUCCUGGGCACUGGGGGCCACAAGCAGCAGGGCAUUGGAGGGCAGGAGGCUAGAUGGAGGGGUAGACAGACAGGGAGCUAACUGACCAGCCGGCCUGGGUGAGCCAGCACGGCCGUCCCGCCUCAGCUUCAGCAGUCUGGAUGCAGACACCCUCCCUCCUGCAUCCGUGCCCAGCCCUGACUUGACAGUGUCUCACAGCCAGCCGUGGUGGCGCAUGCCUAUAAUCCUAGCACUCGAGAGGCUGAGGCAGGAGGGUCGCUGUGAGUUCAAGGCCUGCCUGGACUGCAUAGCAAGACCCUGUCUGAAACCUUCCCUCCCUCAAAAAACACCUUCCAGAAGUUCCUGCUCCUCAAGUUUCAGCUCUUGGGUUUGUGUGGCUUUGUUUCCAUCCCGUUUCUCUGUAACUCUGCAUGUUUGGUGCCCCAGUUUCUCCAACUUCUCCGCGGACUGCUCCGGAAGGCCCAGUCAGGGGGCUCGCCGUACUGAGCCCCUGCUUCCCGGCCCAAGAUGACCACGAGUUAACGGGUCAGGGGUGACCCCUUCAACCCUCCCACAGCCACUGAACAAUUAGCGAAGUGGGGAAACCAAGGGUCCUGGACAGACACAAGGCUGGCCCUGGCCGGCACAUACCUACACCCCUAAGUUUGUGGGGGCUGGGGAUGGAACCCCGGGCCUCAUGCAUACUGGGCAAAUGCUCUACCAUGGAGGAACUACACCCCAACCCUUCCAUGUUUUGUAUUUGAUGUUUGAGAGUGCAAUAAAUAUAACACUUUUGCCGGGCAUGGUAGUGCACACCUGUAAUCCCAGCACUCGGGAGGCUGAGGCAGGAGGAUCAUUGCGAGCUCGAGACCAGCCUGGGCUACAAAGUGAGCUCAAGACCAGCCUGAACUGCAUAGUGAGACCCUGUCUCAAAAAGACAAAAAAAACCAUUUUUGUAUUUUCCCAUUUGGCAUAGAACGUGUAAAGCGUUUGGCCCCCUGCCUGGUCACCCCACUGCUUCAGAGUCCG
ensembl:lincRNA